GCUGAGCCUAUGGAGAGGUUACCUGGUUCUAAACAAGCAACCUGUCAGGGUGGAGACCACAUUCAGCUACCUAGAGAUUUGCUCCAUCAAUAUUCACAGUCUCAUGCAGAUUGUGUUGGAGACAGACAGGCAGACCCUGUCUUUCAGUGUCUUACAUGCUGAUGAUCUUGAGGCCAUGAUUCGUCACAUGACUGCCUCACUGAAGAGGAUCUUCCCCGAUUCAUC